GACGAACGCUGGCGGCGUGCCUAAUACAUGCAAGUCGAACGCAGUGGGGACGGGUGAUUAACACGUGGGUAACCUCCUAUCAGAGGGGAUAACCCUUGGAAACAGGGGCUAAACCGCUACUGAUGGAUGUACCCGCGGUGCAUUAGCUAGUGGUGGAGGUAACGGCUCACCAAGGCCACGAUGCAUAGCCGACCUGCGAGGGUGAUCGGCCACACUGGGACUGAGACACGGCCCAGACUCCUACGGGAGGCAGCAGUGGGGAAUCUUCGGCAAUGGACGAAAGUCUGACCGAGCAACGCCGCGUGAGUGAAGAAGGUUUUCGGAUCGUAAAACUCUGUUGUUAGAGAAGCGGUAUCUAACCAGAAAGCCACGGCUAACUACGUGCCAGCAGCCGCGGGAAUUC
rnacentral:rRNA from 1 species